GAUCACGAGCGUGUACUGUCAGUCUGAUGCUGCAGCGCCACUUACAAACCCUAAUGUUUCUAAAAAACAUUCAGAGAUAGAAGCUGAGAGUCAUGCAAGUAGCAAAAACACAGAAACAGCAUCCGUAGUUAAGUAACGGAAAGUGAACCUUCAC